UGGGGAAUAUUGCGCAAUGGCCGAAAGGCUGACGCAGCGACGCCGCGUGUAGGAUGAAGCCCUUCGGGGUGUAAACUACUGUUGCCCGGGACGAACCUCCCCUUUAGAGGGGACUGACGGUACCGGGUGAGGAAGCACCGGCUAACUCCGUGCCAGCAGCCGCGGUAAUACGGAGGGUGCGAGCGUUGUCCGGAAUCACUGGGCGUAAAGGGCGCGUAGGCGGUCCGCUAAGUGUGUGGUGAAAGCCCGGGGCUCAACCCCGGGUCUGCCGUGCAAACUGUCGGACUCGAGGACUGUAGAGGCAGGUGGAAUUCCGGGUGUAGCGGUGGAAUGCGUAGAGAUCCGGAAGAAGACCGGUGGCGAAGGCGACCUGCUGGGCAGUCACUGACGCUGAGGCGCGACAGCGUGGGGAGCAAACAGG
rnacentral:rRNA from 1 species